rnacentral:rRNA from 1 species
UGGGGAGUACGACCGCAAGGUUGAAACUCAAAGGAAUUGACGGGGGCCCGCACAAGCGGAGGAACAUGUGGUUUAAUUCGAUGAUACGCGAGGAACCUUACCUAGACUUGAACGUAUUUGGACAGAUUCAGAGAUGGAUUCUUCUUUCGGGACCAUUUACGAGGUGCUGCAUGGUUGUCGUCAGCUCGUGCCGUGAGGUGUCGGGUUAAGUCCCAUAACGAGCGCAACCCUUGCCAAUAGUUGCCAGCGAGUAAUGUCGGGGACUCUAUUGGGACUGCCGGUGUAAACCGUGAGGAAGGUGGGGAUGACGUCAAAUCAGCACGGCCCUUACGUCUAGGGCGACACACGUGUUACAAUGGCCAGUACAGAGGGUCGCUACUAAGUGAUUAGAUGCUAAUCUCGAAAACUGGUCUCAGUUCGGAUUGGAGGCUGAAACUCGCCUCCAUGAAGCUGGAUUCGCUAGUAAUCGCAUAUCAGCCAUGA